ACUCCCACCAUAGCCUUCUUCAAGCUCGAGUGAUGUCCCUGAAGGUGGAGAUGGAAAAUGUGCAGUGUCGGCUCUCAUCAGCCCUUGAGAGCAAUUCCAGGAAACUCCUGGGUGUAGGGCACCAAGCUGAGGCAAAGCAGCUUGAAGGACAGAAGCAUUCCCAGCAAGCAGCCACACUGGACAGAAGACUAUACAGAUCAAAAUGCAGAUCCCAAGUCUGAAGUGUCAAUUCUAUUUCUAACAAUUGCAUAUGGACUUCAUUAGCCAGCUAACUGGUACCUAUUUUAGCAUCCCGCCAGCUGGAGGGAUUUCCAGUAAGAAAUGUGAGAAGGGAAAAAGUCUAGGAAUCUCAGGUUCCCCAAGGCCUUCUGGAAUUCGUACAGAAAGCAAGAUAAGUCCUGUACUGCCGCAACAUCUGGAGACAAAGGGGAAUAAUUGCUGGCUAGUAGACGACCAAUAG
rnacentral:lncRNA from 1 species